CGCCUCUUGCAAAACUAAUGAAUAAGAGGUCCCGCCUGCCCUGUGACUAUAGGUUUAACGGCCGCGGUAUUUUGACCGUGCAAAGGUAGCGCAAUCACUUGUCUUUUAAAUGAAGACCUGUAUGAAUGGCAUAACGAGGGCCCGACUGUCUCCUUUUUCAGGUCAAUGAAAUUGAUCUUCCCGUGCAGAAGCGGAAAUAAUACCAUAAGACGAGAAGACCCUAUGGAGCUUUAGACAAAAACAGAGCAUGUUAAGCACCCCCUGAUAAGGGGCCAAACCAAAUGCCCGCUGCCUAAUGUCUUUGGUUGGGGUGACCGCGGCGAAAUAUAUAACCCCCGUGUAGAAAGAGGGCUCACUCCCUUCAAAUUAAGAGCUACCGCUCGAACAAUCAGGAUACCUGACUAAAUAAGAUCCGGCAACGCCGAUCAACGGACCGAGUUACCCUAGGGAUAACAGCGCAAUCCCCUUCUAGAGCCCAUAUCGACAAGGGGGUUUACGACCUCGAUGUUGGAUCAGGACAUCCUAAUGGUGCAGCCGCUAUUAAGGGUUCGUUUGUUCAACGAUUAAUAGUCCU
rnacentral:rRNA from 1 species